CCGUCCAAUAACUCCACAGCAU
rnacentral:siRNA from 1 species